CUGGGAGAAGAGGGGGAACACAACAGAACCCUUCACAUUCAUGUCACUCAUGGGGGUGAAGCAAGGACAGCAAUCCACAGUUUAACACUCUCCCUGUUAGAUCAGGAGAGGCCUCUUUGGGAGACCCAUGCCAGGAGCUUGUUUGCAAGAUACUUCACCACUGACCCCAAAAUCCCUUGGGAUUUUGCUGGGUACACUUCCAAGGGCCCUGCUGAGGCCUAAUCUCUGCGUGAAACCGGCUCCGAUGAAGAGCAACUCUGGUAGCCAAAAAUGAUGCAGCGAUUUUCAAGCAGACUACAAGCUAAUCCCCAGGAUCAUGAUUAACAUGUUUAUUUUGCUCAGUUAAACAGAUUCUAAUGUCCAGGGCUGGGUGUAAGCACUGCUAAGAACAGUCACUAAGCUACCAGCUUUGUGUCUCCUUUGGUGAUCUAGAUGGCCACCCCUGACCCUCUAAAACCCCUGAGAUUCCAGAGAGUGAGCAGGCUUUAUGUACUUAUCCAUUCCCAUCACAACAAUAGCCAACUGAUUCCAGAGUUACAGGCUCAAGGGAUGACACAGACAGAACUAAUCCUAAUUUGGAGCCUGAAGAUCCACAGCAGAACGAUCCAACUUUGUUCUUACACUAUUAAUUAACACCACGCUCUAGUUUCCAACAUACUUAAAUGAUGAAUAAGGUUAAAUUCCAGACAACGUUCUGUACAUUGCCAUCAAUUAACAAUUUUCGAGGCAGCGCUUCAUUAAUAAACACUGAUCAGCAGAGCCCUUGUGAGGAGUGCAUUGGAGCUGAGAAAUUGUAUCAGAGCUUCUUUAAUAUGUGAGCUGGAGUGUGUGGUGUGUAUGAGCCCGUGCACAAGUGUGUAUGUGUGCGUGUGUGAAAAAAAAUCAAUGCAAUAUCCUAGGAAACUCAUCAGCACAUCAUCUCCUUAAAGGUUAAUUAAGAAUUUGAGGAAGAACAG